UACGUAGGGUGCAAGCGUUAAUCGGAAUUACUGGGCGUAAAGGGCUCGUAGGUGGCCAACUAAGUCAGACGUGAAAUCCCUCGGCUUAACCGGGGAACUGCGUCUGAUACUGGAUGGCUUGGAUUCGGGAGAGGAAUGCGGAAUUCCAGGUGUAGCGGUGAAAUGCGUAGAUAUCUGGAGGAACACCGGUGGCGAAGGCGGCAUUCUGGACCGACAUUGACGCUGAGGAGCGAAAGCCAGGGGAGCAAACGGG
rnacentral:rRNA from 1 species